rnacentral:lncRNA from 1 species
GAGGAGUCUGAGGGAUCCGAAGGUGAUCGGCCAUUGUAGAAAUCCAACUGCUGGAGCCCAUCCAUUGUGAAAGCUCAUCCGAAAUCCAUCCUAUGUGGAAGCUCGGACAGAGUCCGAUUCUUGUGGGAGGCCGAAAGGAGGCCGCUUAUUGUUGGAGCUCGAUCGAAGAUCGACUGUCAUGGGAGCUUGGAGUAAUGACCUGGCCGGUGGAUCCUGCCCCAUGGUAGAAGCUCAUCUGGGAUCCGGC